rnacentral:lncRNA from 1 species
GAAGGAAGUGGACCCCUUCUCUCUUCCUCCAGAGUCACCAUGUGAUCCCAGGAUGCCAAUGGAAGGCGUCCAAUAAGAUCAAUAGCUCUGGAAGCCAUCUGAAAUGUAAUUUGCUACACCACUUGGACAUUCUGAUUCCAUUGGUAUCAGACUUUUUCUUAUACCCUAAUUUCCUUCUGCUGAGAUUCUGGAGGAAAAUGAGAAAACUUGGCAGAUAAGAUAAAUGACUCAUUAGUCAGCUUUUCAUCAAUGUAACAAAAUGCUUAAGAAACGAAAAUAUUUAUGUCACUUUCAGUGGAGUUUGUCUUUCAUCUCUCAGUGGCAUUUCAGGUCACUAAGUGCUAUCCAAUUUAUUUGUAUUCCGGUGCCACUCCAGUGAAGCAUGCCUCUCUGUCAGCUGAGUGUAAGAUGCAGGUGCUCAGCACUUGGAAGCCAUGCCAUGAACAAAUCGACGGUAUCAGCAGCAGCCAGCCAUCCUGUAGACAAUUUCCAAGUAACGACUGGAGAAGAGUUCUCAAAAUUUUUUAGCAGUCCUAACUUCAGUUUUCCCUGGAAAAUCUGAGAUCACUUUCUUGGACUUUGUUAAACUGUCAUAUUUUAUUCCAACUCUCCUUAAUCCUAUUGAAUAUCUAUUUGGUAUUUUAUUUCCAUAAGUAGUUCCUUUAUCACACUGAAAAUAGAGUCUGGU